CUGGGAAUGGCCAUGUGGAACAGGCCAUGCCAGAGGCUGCCUCAGCAGCCUCUGGUAGCUGAGCCCACUGCAGAGGGGGAGCCACACCUGCCCACGGGCCGGGAGCUGACUGAGGCCAACCGCUUCGCCUAUGCUGCCCUCUGUGGCAUCUCCCUGUCCCAGCUAUUUCCUGAACCCGAACACAGCUCCUUCUGCACAGAGUUCAUGGCAGGCCUGGUGAAGUGGCUGGAGUUGUCCGAAGCCGUCUUGCCAACCAUGACUGCUUUUGCGAGCGGCCUGGGAGGUGAAGGAGCAGAUGUGUUUGUUCAAAUUUUACUGAAGGACCCCAUCUUGAAGGACGACCCGACGGUGAUCACUCAGGACCUUCUGAGCUUCUCACUCAGGGAUGGGCACUAUGAUGCCCGGGCCAGAGUCCUUGUUUGCCACAUGACCUCCCUGCUCCAAGUGCCCUUGGAGGAGCUGGAUGUCCUUGAAGAGACGUUCCUGGAGAGCCUGAAGGAAAUCAAAGAGGAGGAAUCUGAAAUGGCCAGGCAUCCCGAAGAAGAAAGAAAACCGGAGGAAAUGGAAGCGUUAUCUCCUGAUAGGCCUGGCGACUGUCGGAGGCGGAACGGUGAUCGGUGUGACUGGAGGUCUAGCUGCACCCCUUGUUGCCGCUGGAGCAGCUACGAUUAUUGGCAGCGCCGGGGCAGCGGCUCUGGGCUCAGCAGCCGGCAUAGCCAUCAUGACCUCGCUGUUUGGUGCAGCUGGAGCUGGCCUGACAGGCACCUUCAGUGCCCCGUGGGCUGCCCUGGCCCACAGCCGUGAGCAGUACUGCCUGGCCUGGGAAGCCAAGUACCUGAUGGAGCUCGGCAAUGCCCUGGAGACCAUCCUCAGUGGUCUCGCCAACAUGGUGGCCCAGGAGGCCCUAAAGUACACAGUGUUGUCUGGCAUUGUGGCUGCCCUGACCUGGCCAGCCUCACUCCUCAGUGUCGCCAAUGUCAUCGACAACCCCUGGGGGGUGUGUCUCCAUCGAUCAGCAGAGGUUGGCAAGCACCUGGCCCACAUCCUGCUCUCCCGGCAGCAGGGCCGACGACCUGUCACCUUGAUUGGCUUCAGCCUGGGAGCCAGAGUCAUCUACUUCUGUCUGCAGGAGAUGGCUCAGGAGAAAG
rnacentral:sRNA from 1 species